rnacentral:rRNA from 1 species
CCUACGGGAGGCAGCAGUGGGGAAUAUUGGACAAUGGGCGAAAGCCUGAUCCAGCCAUGCCGCGUGUGUGAAGAAGGCCUUCGGGUUGUAAAGCACUUUCAGUGGGGAAGAAAGCCUUGGGGCUAAUACCCUCGAGGAAGGACAUCACCCACAGAAGAAGCACCGGCUAACUCCGUGCCAGCAGCCGCGGUAAUACGGAGGGUGCGAGCGUUAAUCGGAAUUACUGGGCGUAAAGCGCGCGUAGGCGGUCUGAUAAGCCGGUUGUGAAAGCCCCGGGCUCAACCUGGGAACGGCAUCCGGAACUGUCAGGCUAGAGUGCAGGAGAGGAAGGUAGAAUUCCCGGUGUAGCGGUGAAAUGCGUAGAGAUCGGGAGGAAUACCAGUGGCGAAGGCGGCCUUCUGGACUGACACUGACGCUGAGGUGCGAAAGCGUGGGUAGCAAACAGGAUUAGAACCCGUGUAGUC